rnacentral:rRNA from 1 species
CCUACGGGAGGCUGCAGUGAGGAAUAUUGGUCAAUGGUCGGGAGACUGAACCAGCCAAGCCGCGUGAGGGAUGAAGGUACAGAGUAUCGUAAACCUCUUUUGUCAGGGAACCAAGUCGGGGACGCGUCCCCGGAUGAGUGUACCUGAAGAAACAGCAUCGGCUAACUCCGUGCCAGCAGCCGCGGUAAUACGGAGGAUGCGAGCGUUAUCCGGAUUUCUUGGGUUUAAAGUGUGCGCAGGCGGUCUGUUAAGUCAGCGGUAAAAGCCCGGGGCUCAACCCCGGCCAGCCGUUGAAACUGGCAGUCUCGAGUUGGAGAGAAGUAUGCGGAAGGCGCGGUGUAGCGGUGAAAUGCAUAGAUAUCGCGCAGAACUACGAUUGCGAAGGCAGCAUGCCGGCUCCACACUGACGCUGAGGCACGAAGGCGUGGGUAUCGAACAGGAUUAGAUACCCGAGUAGUC